GCCCGGAUGGUGGAAUUGGUAGACACGCGAGACUUAAAAUCUCGUUUUUUCGGAAGUCCGGGUUCGAUUCCCGGUCCGGGCACCA
rnacentral:tRNA from 1 species